UACGAAGGGGGCUAGCGUUGUUCGGAAUGACUGGGCGUAAAGGGCGCGUAGGCGGCUGAUCAAGUCAGAGGUGAAAUCCCCGGGCUCAACCCGGGAAUUGCCUUUGAGACUGGUCGGCUUGAGAGCGGGAGAGGUGAGUGGAAUUCCCAGUGUAGAGGUGAAAUUCGUAGAUAUUGGGAAGAACACCAGUGGCGAAGGCGGCUCACUGGCCCGUUUCUGACGCUGAGGCGCGAAAGCGUGGGGAGCAAACAGG
rnacentral:rRNA from 1 species